AAAAGAUAAACUCGAAACUGUACUCGUAUUUUAUCAAACAUUUUACAUUAAGAUCCAAACAUCAAAAGUAAAAACGUUUUAUUGACAGCACAAUGUUGGCGUUUUAUUUUAUUUUGUUGGCAUCAGCUUACAGCUUUCUUUUAGAUCAUCCACAAGGAAAUGGAGGGACAGCGAUCACCAAUCAGUACCUUACAUUAUCUAAAUUUUAUGAGGAGAUGAAGCUCCAACAAGCAGACACAACAAACGUGCGACAAGAAACAAUAAAACUUCGACAUGAUACGGACAACUCUCUUACGUUGCUUACAUCUCAACUGCAACAGAAAUUUGAUCUUCUUGAUAAGAAGUUGGCUGAAAUUGCAAAACAAAACGAUUCUAAUCCGGAUUUUGUUAAUUUGGAACAAAAGUAUAUUCAGUUAGAACAAAAGUAUAUGAAUCUUGAACAGAUUUAUUUAACUCAGGGACAUGAAUUAGCUAUGUUAAAGAAUAAAUCACGCUUACUUGACACGAGUAUUGAAGAUCUUAAGCAUUUGGGAAGUAUUAAACCACUGCAUGAAAUCACAACUUUACAACAAGUUGUAAAAUCGAUUUCUGCUCAAACGAGUAUGUUAAAUAUGAAGGAACAAGCGCGUAGCCAGGACUUAAUUGCAUUAUACAGUAAGGUACAGGAACAUGAGGUUACCAACAAUAGGUCAAUAACAGAUUUAAGCACCAAGUUGAACACUUUACAGACGAAUCAUAAUGCGUCAAUCACGAAUCUAGGUACUGAACUAAGAAAUGUUGAAAAGAAUCAAAGUGUACAUUUCGUUGAUGUUGAGUCGAAGAUGCGUGCAGCAAACAUUAUGAAUAAUCAAACUUUUAUACAUUUACAACAACAGAUAGACACUAGCACAGAACAAGGUAAUUAUUGUAAUAAUUUAGAAAUAAUAUUUUUUUUCUGAAUAUAAUUGAAUAUCAAACAGUAGCGUGAUUUUACUUUAUCAAACUCAAGAUAACUAAAAAAAAUAUGGACUCAAACUGAUUCUUUUGUAUUUCACACAAUGAUAUUUCUUUUAGUCGAUGAAAUAUUUCCUAAAUGGAAUUAAUCUGUUUUUUAAAAUGUUGGAGCAACUUAUAAAACUUAAGAGAUAACAGUCGCCGUUAAUUAACCUUUAAACACACACACCAUUUUGAUUGGAAAAUACUUAUUUUCAACACAGAAACCGGGUAUCAAUUUUAGCUAAUAAUCUUAUUCUGUAAUCUUAUUCAAUAGAUCGAUCUUUAUUUCAAACUAUAAAACAAAAUUGUCAAUCGAGAAAGAAUUAGAGGUGAGCUCAAAAUUCAGUGAAUUCAUGAAUACAUUCAAGAGAUUGAUCAUUAUAUUCAUAAUCCAUGAAGUGGAUUCUUUCAAACAACUUAAUCUCCCUUCCUCAUAUGUAAAAACCUUCCAUUCAAUAUCUAUUUUGAAUAUGAGGUUUAUCAAAAUAUAGUGUUAAAUACAAUUGCUUUUAAACUUACAAAUUUCAAAGACGUCAUGUCAUAAUAAACAUUUCAUAUAGUUUUUACAGGAUUCUGAAUUUCACUAUUUGUUUUUUUAUUUCAGUGGCAAUGACUGCACAUCCUUCAUCUUCCCCGACCAAGUCUGGUAUAAUCAAAUUUGACAGUGUCGCGUUCAGCGUUGGCAUUAAGAACCUAUCAACGU
rnacentral:lncRNA from 1 species